rnacentral:lncRNA from 1 species
ACACCAUAUUUUUUUAAAUUAUCAUAUUUUAAUUAUUUCCAAAAUUUUAACAUGUAUAAAUAUGAAGAAUUAGUAUAAUCAGAUUUAAUAAUUUAUUUUAUAUCAAUAAUUUAAGGAGUUUAACAAAUUUUGUAAAAGGGGAAAAAGAUAAAAAAAAAUGAAUAGUUAUAACAUAUAAAUAUCAUAGAUUAAAUGUAUUUACCGCAAAACAAAAUAAUUUUUAUCUUAUGGAAUAAAUGAUAAAUUAACUCUCUUUUUUCCAAAAAAUUUGGUAACCUAAAUUAAUGCACCUGCAUAUAUAUAUAUAUAUAUAUAUAUAUAUUGUAGUAGCUCAAAUUUGACCGGGCUGAAAAUAAAAUAAACCCAUUACAGUCCAGUUUACAAAAGCCCAAAUUAAUUGACCCAUUUAACCUAGACCUAGCAGACCGGUUAUAACCUGUAACCCAGUAGCCCAAAUACCAAUAACCCAGUAAACCCAACCACCCAGCAGACCCAUUUACACCCUCAACCCAAAGUACACAGAGCCCAAACGGCCCAAGAUAUUAGCAGAAUAAAGAGAAGCCUAGGGUUUCAGAAACCCUAGGCGCCGCAAUCAUCCCGAAAGACGCGCCUUUUCGAAUCACGCCGUUCUAGUAGCCACCAUCAGCGCUGUGGUUCCAGUUCCCAUGCCACGCCGCAAUCGGCGCAUGGAUCAUGACCCACCGCCGAAGAUUGCGCCAUUAACCUGCAAGAAAAGGAAAGAAGCAAGCAAAUCAAGAAUCAGAAUAGGGUUUUUUUUUUUAGAUUUAUUUGUAAACAGUAUAAAUGGAUGUAAAAUACGAUGUAAAAAGGGGACCGCCUUUUUCUUACAAAAAGAAAAAUAAAAAGAUAUACAGAGACAUAAAAGAAAAGUUCGAGCAUUUUCUUAAAAAAGGUGAUUAAAGUUUUAUAUUCUGUUAUUUAUUUGUUUUUUUUUUCUUCUCAACAGGCAUACAAAUCGUUUUAAAAAAAAAACUGAUAAUAUUAAAAGAGAAGAAGAUUACCUGUGUUUUACCCAGAAGAACGAAGGUUUUUAGCCUUCUGAGCCACCGUAUUUGGCGGCGCGUGGGCGCGUGGGCGCGUGAAAGGUCGGAGACGGAAGCUCAACGGAGCGCUGAAAGCCCCUUCCCCAUUCCUCUUUCAGAGGAUUUUCUUUUUAAAAAAAAAACCAGGUUAAAAGUGAUUUUUUAAGCUAAAAAUUGGCUUAUAUAGC